UUACUGUUAAAGAAAAAGUAGACAAGUUUCAUAAGUUGAUUUGUAAGUAAUAUAUUUAGGAGACUACAAAAAUUUUGAGACUGUGUAUAUCAUAGGAUGCUGUUUGUUUGUAUCCUCCAAAUAGGUAACAAGUCCAUAUGAGGCAUAGUUAAGUCUGUGGGUGCUUCAUUGAGGAGUAGAACCUUGAAAAGACUUCUGCCUUGAUGAACAAAUUCGAACACCAGUUUGAAAUAUUGGAUAUUCAAACACAACAAAUGGAAGAUAAAAUGAGUAACUCUACAACCCUAACAACACCACAAAACCAAAUGGAUAUGCUGCUUCAGGAAAUGCCAGAUGAAGCUAGGAUGAACUAUCACAGAGACUUGCUCUUUUCCAUGAUUGAAUGUAAUUUAAAGAGCUACUGCUUCUGUUUGCUUCACUUACUUCUGAAACAUUCUUUGUUUGUAUAGGACACAAUUGGAGAAACUGGUUAUUUUACCAAGGUUUUGACUGGAAUGGCAUACUUGCAGGUGGCUUUAAGGAAUCAACUUUGACUUAUAGAACCAAUAAACACCUUGGGGAAAACUGGCCUCAUACCUUGUCUAAAUAGUCACUGUACACAUCUCUUGACCUCUGGUAAGUAAAGAAUGUUAUUUUCCAGUAGGCCAAGGAGCCCCAAGUUAUCUUGGGACCUCAAGAGGAGAGGAAUUUCCCUAACUCAUAUAGGUAAUUGAUGACACUAACCCAUGGCUGGGAUUAAGUCUUCAAAAAAGUCUUAUCUGAUUUCUCAUGAAAUGAAGUUCCAUCAAAGACAAUUUAAAAGGGAGCCUAUAUGACAAAUAAUUAUUCUUGCUAUUCUUUAUGCAAACAGGUCAAGUAUAAUAAGACUAAAAUUUAUUCUGCAAACUAA